GGAGGGGUAGUAGGAGAUGAAGUCGGGGGCUACUUAGAACUUUGUGUGCCAUGUUAAGGACUUUGACUUUUAUUCUGAGAAGGGAAACUAUAGAAGGAUUUUUGAGAAGAGUAACAUUUUUAAAUGAUCCCUCACCAUGUGUUUAAUAGUAGACUUCUAGGGGACUUGAGCAGAUUUUGGUGGUUGGAGAGAUCAGCAGCUUAUCUUUCAAUAGGUUAAAUUGCAGGUGCCUGGUAAGAUACCUUAGUAGGUAUCAGGUAGGUGGUUAGCUAUUCAAGACUGGAGCUCAGGAAAGAAAUUUGGGUUUUAAAGCCAUGAGCCUGGAUGAGAUGACAAGGGAGCAGAAAAGAACGUGGCGCCAUCUCUUAGAAAUUGAGUAGAUGCCCUAAAAAGGAACCAGCAAAAGGCAUAGGAAAAGCAGGUGAGGCAAAAAACUAAUAGGAAAUUAUCUAGAAUUGGGCUAUUUAGCCACAUGCGGCUGCUGAGUUAAAAUGUAAAAUUCAGUUCCUCAGUCACCCUGGCCGCAUCUCAAGGGCUCGUUUCACGUGGCUUCUGGCUGUUGACAGGGACAGGACAGAUAGAGGACGUUUUCAUGAUCACUAAAAUUCUAUUGAGCAGUACUGUUCCAGAAGCCAACAGAAGAAAAUACUUCAAGGACAAGGGGGUGUGUCCAAAAGUAAUUUGAGGGGGAGUUCCCUGGUGGUUCAGUCUCUGGUUAGGGAACCAAGAUUCCCCCAAGGAGUGGCAAGGCCAAAAAAAGGAAUGUGAAGACUGAGACUUGAUCGCUGGGUUUAGUUACAUGUGAAUGAUGGGCACGCUGUUGACAAGAGAGCGACUUUGAUAGUCAGAGACAGAAGCCUGACGGAAGUACAUUCAGGAUAGACUGGACAAUAGGAGUCAGAAAAUACAGACAUCUCGUUCCCCACCGUGAGCUUGGGCUGGCAGCUGUCUGCAGUCUACCUGGCGUGGCCCUGUCUACACUGACAUCCCUGCCACUGAG
ensembl:lncRNA